AACCCUGAUCCAGCAAUGCCGCGUGAGUGAAGAAGGCCUUCGGGUUGUAAAGCUCUUUUGUCAGGGAAGAAACAGCAGCUCUAAUACAGUCUGCGAAUGACGGUACCUGAAGAAUAAGCACCGGCUAACUACGUGCCAGCAGCCGCGGUAAUACGUAGGGUGCAAGCGUUAAUCGGAAUUACUGGGCGUAAAGCGUGCGCAGGCGGUUAUGCAAGACAGUCGUGAAAUCCCCGGGCUCAACCUGGGAAUUGCGAUUGUGACUGCAUAGCUAGAGUAUGUCAGAGGGGGGUAGAAUUCCACGUGUAGCAGUGAAAUGCGUAGAUAUGUGGAGGAAUACCAAUGGCGAAGGCAGCCCCCUGGGACAAUACUGACGCUCAUGCACGAAAGCGUGGGGAGCAAACAGGAUUAGAUACCCUGGUAGUCCACGCCCUAAACGAUGCUGACUAGUUGUUCGGGAAUUUAUUCCUGAGUAACGUAGCUAACGCGU
rnacentral:rRNA from 1 species